UACCACUACCACAUCAUCCUGAUCAUGCCCAGUCUCAUCUGAUCUUAGAAGGUAAGUAGGUUCAAGUCUGAUUAGUAUUUGGAUGAAAGUGUGUUCUGAUCAAUUAAUUGUGAUUA
ensembl:rRNA 5S_rRNA 5S ribosomal RNA